UUUUGUGUGUGUGUGUGUGUGUGUGUGUGUGUGUGUGUGUGUGGUGUGUGUGUGUGUGUGUGUGUGUGUGUGUGUGUGUGUGUGUGUGUGUGUGUGUGUGUGUGUGUGUGUGUGUGUGUGUGUGUUGGUGUAAUUACGUUAUUAUGCAAUGCUGGCAUCAUGUGCACGGGGCUGCAGCCCACAUGUGAAACACAUUGACUCAAUCUGUCAUUUCUUUCAGCGGCGCGUCCUCGAAAAACCGACUCUCCACAGAUCCCUCCGCGGUGUCUGUCCGUGUUUGUGUUUGACUCUGUGUACGUGUCCCACCCCACCCUACAGGAAGGAACUGGUGUGAGUGGUGUUGUGGAGACGGUACCCCACCCUCUCCCCCCCCCCCCCCCUCCUUAGGGAAGAGGGGAGGGUCAACAAAAGAAAUUCCUUGGAUUCCUCGCCGCUGACACUGUGGCACGAGCCCUCGUGCACACUCUCUCAGUCUCUCACUCCCUCGCUCUGAUGACCGGAGAGGAAUCCGUGGAAUCCGACUUCAUAGUAAAGCUGAGGGCUCGUAGUAAAGCUAGCGAUGGUUUCUCUGUCCGUGUGUGUGCGCAUGUGCACGCUAGUUUUACCACGAAACAACAAAGGGAGUCGAUUGACAUGUUUAUGUUCUGCUCCAUGGUGUCAAAUCGUGGCCUGCUGGCGUUGUUGACGGCUUAUGUUGAACCCUGACGGUAAAAGGGUUUGUGUUUUGGGGUUUUUAACAACAUUUCCCUACUAGUGAAAAUAUCAACAAGAGAUACAGCCGUGGCUUGUAUCCCGAUUUUAAGAACCAAAAGCCGUCACUGCGGCCUAUUUUUCCAGAGAGGCUUAUAGAAAUGUUUCGCAAAUGCAGAGAUUUCAAAGAAAAACAUCUGCACCAUACUCAUGCAUUGCGCUCGAGUGAUCAACCGUGAAGUUCCUAACGCUGUCACGAUGUAAAGCCCCCAUAUGCUCAUUUAUAUGAGAGGUCUGCGAGUGAAAUCAGUUUUAACGACUGCGCCGUCCAGUCGCUUGACGAAAUAAAACAACCACAUACUGCGACCCUCCUCCGUUCUCAAGAAGCGUUUUCCUUCUGCGUAUCUGCGCCGAGUCCUGCACAUCUAGGUCAGUGCUUUAGCCUGUGGCAGGUGUUCUCCAACCUCCAUCACUUCCAUAUAGAAUUACCCUCUCCUCCACCUUGCCUGCCAUUUCCCAAUCCUGUCAAAGACCAGCUAGAUGGCCACUUACUAGCCCCCGCCGGCCCCCAGCCCACCAUGUUUACUGGACUCUCUUCCGUUUGUUUGAAACAAGCUCUGUUGGUGUAAACACCCAUUAGAAGAAGAUUCAUCCCCCAAAGGAGAAGCCACUCUCCCUCUGUUAUUAGCUUCCGCACUGGCCAGAGUUUAUCAUUGGGUCUCGGGAUCUGCCUGGUUAAACGCUACCGACUGUUUGUGUUUUCAUACAUCAUGUCCACCCGCCCCCCCUGUCAUGAGACACGCCCUGAUUAGACGGCAGAGUCGCGGGGGAGUGCUGGGAGAUUUUGGGAGGGCAGAUGUAGAUUGGAAAAUUCUUCUCCUUUCCUCAGGAGACGAGGUAGAGCCGCCCGCACUGCGAGGUCUUAUUUUAGCGCCUUGUUUCGAUGCAAAGACGCUGUUCCUUAAAAAGAAACCGCAGGACUCAAAGCAGUCCUCGGCGUUAAAAGAUGUCAACACCUUGACUUGAUGUAACGUUACUGCUUCAUCAUGCUCCUGUAUGGCCUCUUAUAACGCAGGUUAUCUUGCGUAAACUCUCUGCCAACGGCUGAAUAAUGGAGAGAGUGAUAAAGGGAGAGAGAUGGAGAGCCUCCACCCUUUACCGCUAUUCAUAUUAGACCUGGCCAGGUUUCCUGCUAUUACAGGAACUGGUACUGGAGAGAGAGAAGCAAUAUGUAUCUAUAUCUCUUCUAGAGGCUGUAAUGGGUUUUGAUGGUGUUUCAGAGUGCAUGCAGGUGUAGAAAUUGUGCAAUAUGGUUACCCUCAUUUUGAUUACACACUUUCUGAGAAUGUGGUUCCAUUCAGCUUUGCUUUGAUGGGCCUUAGUCUUGCUAAGCGACGAGACAAAUCAGCAGAGGGCAACAUGUUUUGUGCUGUCCAAUAAGAAAUAAUAUAGUAAAUUACAACACAUUAAACGGUAAACAUUGAGGCGUCUUUAACCAAACCUAUUGAAACCUUUUGGUGUUGGCUAAAAAUGUAGCAGUGACGUAAUGGAAGACGUUGCAACACAGCGUUGCUAUGGAUAACCGCUUCAGUCAAGAUAUUUUAGACUUCAGCUAAAGCUUUAACCUCCUUCAAAUGCCACUUUAAGGAUCUUUACCCUGUUAGGAUCCGAUCCUAUUCCACUGAAAAAAUAGAGAAUGCAAUGUUUGUUGAAGACGCAGAGUCCAAGAGAAGGCACAGCGGGAAAGGGACAGAGUGCACAUUAGACGGCUCAUCUUUCAAGAUGAAUGAAUAAAAGACAAGAGGGUGGGACUAGCCUGAAACGCCACCUGUUCCGACUUUGACUCAAGACCUUCCCUCCUCCACAGUAGGCUGUGUGUGUGUGUGUGUGUGUGUGUGUGUGUGUGUGUGUGUGUGUGUGUGUGUGUGUGUGUGUGUGUGUGUGUGUGUGUGUGUGUGUGUGUGUGUGUGUGUGUGUGUGUGUGUGUGUGUGUGUGUGUGUGUGUGUGUGUGUGUGUGUGUGAAA